CACUACCUCUACAUCAAAGGCCCCGUGCGAACGGGUUAAUAGGGAACGCCGUGCGUUCUGGCAGGACUUAUCAGGGUCCGGGAACAAGUCGGUGGCUGCCCCCGCAACUGUAAGCGGAGAGAUACCGGAUCGUAUGUCCUCUUAAUCAGGACCCGUCACUGGCUAUGCUCAACAGGCCGGGAAGACAGAACCGAUAUCAAGGACCCGUAAGCCAGGAGACCUGCCUUUGUGACGUAACCAGU
rnacentral:ncRNA from 2 species